CCAAUCUACAAACAUUGGACUUAAUUUUAAAUAAUGGCUGUAUUUGUAAAUUGAAAAUUUUACUUUUCCAUUCUAAUUCAUUAUUUAACGAAACCAAGUGUGCCCAUGUUCUUUGACAAAAGAACAUAGAACUGCAAACAUUUUUCGGAAGUGCAGGUAACUCGGGCACUGCAGGCAACCCUCCUUCAUGGCUUGAUGACUGUUCAGACAGUUCCUUAAACCUUCUCAAUUUUCUCUUUCAGAAGCAAGGUACCAUUGAAUUUGAUUGCUUAUACCAUAUAUAGCAAGUAAUUUGAAAAGGUGCACUUCAAAAAAUAUCGACAAGUUCUCCUUGAUAGAAAAUAAGUCGUCAUUUGCUGCCACGGGCACAGUACAAUGGUAAAGUAGGAGGAUUCUCUAAGGAGCAUCCGGCAGCCGGAAGGCAAUAUUUAUGUUGGAAGGCAGAUGUCUCAUGGAGACAAAGUUAUAGUGGGCUUUGUCGUUCUUCCGGGAUUCUGUCCGCACGUCGUAAAGGGAGGUGCAUAAAGAGGAGAAUUGCAUCUUGAACGUCCGGCCCAAGUGUAUAUGAGCUAUAAUCGCAUUCGAAUUUACUUGGAUG
rnacentral:lncRNA from 1 species